UACGUAGGGGGCGAGCGUUGUCCGGAAUCAUUGGGCGUAAAGCGCGCGUAGGCGGCCAGAUAAGUCCGGUGUGAAAGUCAAAGGCUCAACCUUUGAAUGCCGCUGGAAACUGUCUGGCUUGAGUCCGGGAGGGGCGAGUGGAAUUCUUGGUGUAGCGGUGAAAUGCGUAGAUAUCAAGAGGAACACCUAUUGCGAAGGCAGCUCGCUGGGACGUAAACUGACGCUGAGACGCGAAAGCGUGGGGAGCAAACAGG
rnacentral:rRNA from 1 species